GGUUAUGUGGAUUAGAUACCCGAGUAGUCCACGCCGUAAACGUUGGGCACUAGGUGUGGGUCCCAUCCAACGGGAUCCGUGCCGCAGCUAACGCAUUAAGUGCCCCGCCUGGGGAGUACGGCCGCAAGGCUAAAACUCAAAGGAAUUGACGGGGGCCCGCACAAGCGGCGGAGCAUGUUGCUUAAUUCGAGGCAACGCGAAGAACCUUACCUGGGUUUGACAUGUUGGGGACA
rnacentral:rRNA from 1 species